CCUACGGGGGGCUGCAGUGGGGAAUCUUGGACAAUGGGCGAAAGCCUGAUCCAGCGACGCCGCGUGGAGGAAGAAGUCCUUCGGGAUGUAAACUUCUGAACUAGCCGAAUAAAAGGCCUGUGGACACACAGGAGAAGAAAGUAGGCUAGGAAAAGUCCCGGCUAACUACGUGCCAGCAGCCGCGGUAAGACGUAGGGGGCAAGCGUUACCCGGAAUUACUGGGCGUAAAGGGGGCGUAGGCGGUAAAAGAAGUCAUCUGUGAAAACCUAUUGCUCAACGAUAGGCUAGCGGAUGAAACUGAAUUACUUGAGGGCACCAGAGGUAGACGGAAUUACCCGAGUAGGGGUGAAAUCCGCAGAUACGGGUAGGAACGCCGGUGGAGAAGUCGGUCUACUGGGGUGCACCAGACGCUGAGGCCCGAAAGCUAGGGGAGCAAACCGGCUUAGAUACCCCAGUAGUC
rnacentral:rRNA from 1 species